rnacentral:rRNA from 1 species
CGCGUAGGCGGUCUGUUAAGUCAGCUGUGAAAGCCCCGGGCUCAACCUGGGAACUGCAGUUGAUACUGGCAGGCUGGAGUACGAGAGAGGGAGGUAGAAUUCCAUGUGUAGCGGUGAAAUGCGUAGAUAUAUGGAGGAAUACCAGUGGCGAAGGCGGCCUCCUGGCUCGAUACUGACGCUGAGGUGCGAAAGCGUGGGUAGCAAACA